UUCCCCUAGUANCGGCGAGUGAAGCGGGAAGAGCUCAAAUUUGUAAUCUGGCACUUUCAGUGUCCGAGUUGUAAUCUCGAGAAGUGUUUUCCGCGCUGGACCGCAUACAAGUCUGUUGGAAUACAGCGUCAUAGUGGUGAGAACCCCGUAACUGAUGCGGAUGCCCAGUGCUUUGUGAUACACUUUCGAAGAGUCGAGUUGUUUGGGAAUGCAGCUCAAAAUGGGUGGUAAAUUCCAUCUAAAGCUAAAUAUUGGCGAGAGACCGAUAGCGAACAAGUACCGUGAGGGAAAGAUGAAAAGCACCUUGGAAAGGGAGUUAACAGUACGUGAAAUUGUUGGAAGGGAAACGCUUGAAGUCAGACUUGCUAUGUGGAUUUAUUCGCUUCGCAGGCCAGCAUCAGUUUCUGGGGGUGGAAAAGGGUUGGGAGAAUGUAGCAACUCCGGUUGUGUUAUAGCUCCUUUCUGGAUUCAUCUUUGGGGACUGAGGAACGCAGCGCGCUUUUUGCAAGGCUCUCGAGCUUUUCGCGCUUAGGAUGC
rnacentral:rRNA from 1 species